rnacentral:rRNA from 1 species
UACGUAGGGUGCGAGCGUUGUCCGGAAUUAUUGGGCGUAAAGGGCUCGUAGGCGGUUUGUCACGUCGGGAGUGAAAACUCGGGGCUCAACCCCGAGCCUGCUUCCGAUACGGGCAGACUAGAGGUAUGCAGGGGAGAAUGGAAUUCCUGGUGUAGCGGUGAAAUGCGCAGAUAUCAGGAGGAACACCGGUGGCGAAGGCGGUUCUCUGGGCAUUACCUGACGCUGAGGAGCGAAAGUGUGUGGAGCGAACAGG